AAGCAGGUUGGCAGAGGUAGCCAGGCAUCAUGGCGGCCCUUGUCAGUGGAGAGAACGGCCGCUAUUUUGCCUGUUAUUCUUCCAUCGUAACUAAAUGAGAUAGUAGGUAAUUGACGAACACAACACACCACGUGGAGAGAAGCAAGGUGUGGAGUACCCAAGCCUCUCACAGUCCAUGCUAGUAGACUCACCCUGCAUGUGGAGAUCUCCCAAAAUGCACGGAGGUUAUUCCAGAGCUGCAGGACAGAGUACUUGAGGCCAUUGGUGAACAGAAAGCUGAGGUUGAACAAAGCCAAGAAUUGAUAGCUGCCCAAGGUGUAAGCAAGAUUCACAAUGAUGAGGUCAUUGUGACGUGUGCAAUGUGUCCACUGGUCUUGGCCUUCCUGACCAAGGCAGCCACACAAAGGAAAUUCCACGUUAUUGUUGCCGAACGUGCCCCUAAAUAUGAUGUAAGGGUCACCCAGUGGCAAAAGCUUUAUGUACUGCUGGAAUUGAGACAACAUUAAUUCAAGACUCUGCAGUGUUCCCCAUCAUGUCACGUGUCAACAAGGUCAUCAAAGGUCAUCGUUGGCACCGAGACGGUGGUGACCAACGGAGGCAUUGAGACCUUUGUUGGUGCAGCCUCUCUUGCCUCACCACCAAAGUUUUAUUCUGUUCCACUGUAUGUGUGCACUCCCACAUACAAAUUUAGCUUGAUGGGCUGUGAAGAAAUGUGAUGCCGGAUAAGAGGGAUUUUACUGUACCCUGUUUAUCUUGCACAUCUACUCACUUAGCUUUAAAUAAUGGCUGCUGACCAUUUAAAUCUCUUUUAUUUCAGUCGAGGUACUGCACCAUCCUACGUGUACCGGCAGCUUAGCGAACUGUACCGUCCCACUUCUUGUGUAACAAGAAGGUAACAGCUUUAAUCCUUGCAAAUAAGGAAUAAGAGAAAAGAGACACACCUGCCAUUUGUACUGUUAUGCUGUAGUGUUCUGUCAUUUUUUUCCUCUUUUAUCCUAGAACCAUUUUUGGUCAUUCAUGUUUCUAAAAAUUAUUAUACAAAAAUGUUGAGCUUAAUAUGUUUGGUGUAGUUUUUUGUAACAUGUGUUAUUGUUAAUGUGUGUGGUUCCCCUCAGGAAGAAUGUUGCAGUAUUAGCAGUAAUGUUACAGCCAAUGGAAGUGUCUGUAUUGUGCUUUGGUGGGAGGUUAAUUUGAUGUAUUUUUAGAGUUGUGCAGGAUAUUAUAGCAAGCCCUCAAAAUAAAGAAAAUAACUAUAGAAAACA